GACGAACGUUGGCGGCGUGCUUAACACAUGCAAGUCGAACGGAAAGGCCCUGCUUUUGUGGGGUGCUCGAGUGGCGAACGGGUGAGUAACACGUGAGUAACCUGCCCUUGACUUUGGGAUAACUUCAGAAAACUGGGGCUAAUACCGGAUAGGAGCUCCUGCUGCAUGGUGGGGGUUGGAAAGUUUCGGCGGUUGGGGAUGGACUCGCGGCUUAUCAGCUUGUUGGUGGGGUAGUGGCUUACCAAGGCUUUGACGGGUAGCCGGCCUGAGAGGGUGACCGGCCACAUUGGGACUGAGAUACGGCCCAGACUCCUACGGGAGGCAGCAGUGGGGAAUAUUGCACAAUGGGCGGAAGCCUGAUGCAGCAACGCCGCGUGCGGGAUGACGGCCUUCGGGUUGUAAACCGCUUUCGCCUGUGACGAAGCGUGAGUGACGGUAAUGGGUAAAGAAGCACCGGCUAACUACGUGCCAGCAGCCGCGGUGAUACGUAGGGUGCGAGCGUUGUCCGGAUUUAUUGGGCGUAAAGGGCUCGUAGGUGGUUGAUCGCGUCGGAAGUGUAAUCUUGGGGCUUAACCCUGAGCGUGCUUUCGAUACGGGUUGACUUGAGGAAGGCAGGGGAGAAUGGAAUUCCUGGUGGAGCGGUGGAAUGCGCAGAUAUCAGGAGGAACACCAGUGGCGAAGGCGGUUCUCUGGGCCUUUCCUGACGCUGAGGAGCGAAAGCGUGGGGAGCGAACAGGCUUAGAUACCCUGGUAGUCCACGCUGUAAACGGUGGGUACUAGGUGUGGGGUCCAUUCCACAGGUUCCGUGCCGUAGCUAACGCUUUAAGUACCCCGCCUGGGGAGUACGGCCGCAAGGCUAAAACUCAAAGGAAUUGACGGGGCCCCGCACAAGCGGCGGAGCAUGCGGAUUAAUUCGAUGCAACGCGUAGAACCUUACCUGGGUUUGACAUGGAUCGGGAGCGCUCAGAGAUGGGUGUGCCUCUUUUGGGGUCGGUUCACAGGUGGUGCAUGGCUGUCGUCAGCUCGUGUCGUGAGAUGUUGGGUUAAGUCCCGCAACGAGCGCAACCCUUGUUCACUGUUGCCAGCACGUUAUGGUGGGGACUCAGUGGAGACCGCCGGGGUCAACUCGGAGGAAGGUGGGGAUGACGUCAAGUCAUCGUGCCCCUUAUGUCCAGGGCUUCACGCAUGCUACAAUGGCUGGUACAGAGAGUGGCGAGCCUGUGAGGGUGAGCGAAUCUCGGAAAGCCGGUCUCAGUUCGGAUUGGGGUCUGCAACUCGACCUCAUGAAGUCGGAGUCGCUAGUAAUCGCAGAUCAGCAACGCUGCGGUGAAUACGUUCCCGGG
rnacentral:rRNA from 1 species